rnacentral:rRNA from 1 species
AACGAACGCUGGCGGCAGGCUUAACACAUGCAAGUCGAACGAGAUCUUCGGAUCUAGUGGCAGACGGGUGAGGAACACGUGGGAACAUCCCUUUCAGUUCGGAAUAACGUUGGGAAACUAACGCUAAUACCGGAUACGUCCUUCGGGAGAAAGAUUUAUCGCUGAAAGAUUGGCCCGCGUCUGAUUAGCUAAUUGGUGAGGUAAUGGCUCACCAAGGCUACGAUCAGUAGCUGAUCUGAGAGGAUGAUCAGCCACAUUGGGACUGAGACACGGCCCAAACUCCUACGGGAGGCAGCAGUGGGGAAUAUUGGACAAUGGGCGCAAGCCUGAUCCAGCCAUGCCGCGUGAGUGAUGACGGCCUUCGGGUUGUAAAACUCUUUUAGUGGGGAAGAUAAUGACGGUACCCACAGAAAAAGCCCCGGCUAAUUUCGUGCCAGCCGCCGCGGUAA